CAAUAGCGUAUAUUAAAGUUGUUGCGGUUAAAAGCUCGUAGUUGGAUUUCUGCUGAGGACGACCGGUCCGCCCUCUGGGUGAGUAUCUGGCUCGGCCUUGGCAUCUUCUUGGGGAACGUAACUGCACUUGACUGUGUGGUGCGGUAUCCAGGACUUUUACUUUGAGGAAAUUAGAGUGUUUCAAGCAGGCGCACGCCUUGAAUACAUUAGCAUGGAAUAAUAAGAUAGGACCUUGGUUCUAUUUUGUUGGUUUCUAGGACUAAAGUAAUGAUUAAUAGGGAUAAUUGGGGGGCAUUUGUAUUAACGCGUCAGAGGUGGAAUUCUUGGAUUGCGUUACGACAAACUACUGCGAAAGCAUUUGCCAAGGAUGUUUUCAUUGAUCAAGAACGAAAGUAUGGGGAUCGAAGAUGAUCAGAU
rnacentral:rRNA from 1 species